GCCUACUGCCUCCAUUUUUGAUACACUGUUUUGGCUCUUCGUCUUAUUUGAACUUUUUGCGAUUAAUAUUUUUAUUGUUACUAGAUAAUAAAAUAUGAAUAAUACUUUAAGCGUGACUAAUUUUUUAAGUUUUUUAAUAAAAUUUUCAAAUAAGACGAAUAAUCAAACGUUGAACACGGAAAAACGAAAAAUGAAGUUAUC
rnacentral:pre_miRNA from 1 species